rnacentral:misc_RNA from 1 species
AAGUCGUAACAAGGUUUCCGUAGGUGAACCUGCGGAAGGAUCAUUAUUGAAAGCACUUGAAGUUGUUGCUGGCUCCUUGGAGCAUGUGCACGCUUCAUGAUGACAACCACCUGUGCACCUUUUGUAGAUUGUUCUGAGCUCAAUUUCAGAGGAAACUCUGGUUUGGGUGCUGCUAUAGCACCUGUGGGCUCUGCAUGAUCUAUGCUUUUUUACAAACACCUUAAUGUAUGUCAAUGAAUGUGGUCUAAUAAACCUAAUACAACUUUCAACAACGGAUCUCUUGGCUCUC